ACGGCCGCCGGGGAGGCCUUGCGCCCCCGGGCCCGCGCCCGCCGAAGACCCCAACAUGAACGCUGUUCUGAAAGUAUGCAGUCUGAGUUGAUUAUCGUAAUCAGUUAAAACUUUCAACAACGGAUCUCUUGGUUCCGGCAUCGAUGAAGAACGCAGCGAAAUGCGAUAAGUAAUGUGAAUUGCAGAAUUCAGUGAAUCAUCGAGUCUUUGAACGCACAUUGCGCCCCCUGGUAUUCCGGGGGGCAUGCCUGUCCGAGCGUCAUUGCUGCCCUCAAGCACGGCUUGUGUGUUGGGCCCCCGUCCCCCUCUCCCGGGGGACGGGCCCGAAAGGCAGCGGCGGCACCGCGUCCGGUCCUCGAGCGUAUGGGGCUUUGUCACCUGCUCUGUAGGCCCGGCCGGCGCCAGCCGACACCCAACUUUAUUUUUCUAAGGUUGACCUCGGAUCAGGUAGGGAUACCCGCUGAACUUAAGCAUAUCAAUAGA
rnacentral:rRNA from 1 species